rnacentral:lncRNA from 1 species
AGAGAAGCAGCAAAACUGCAAGCUGCACAGAAAAAUAUAAGAGAUGGACAGCGCAGGGAGAGACUGGCGGGGAAGCACAGCAAUACAAAAGAAAAGCUCCAGAGAGCAAGGCAGCAAGAAAAUUAGAGGCUUCACUCCAUUUCUCUCGGUUAAAUCUUUCCAAACUUAUAUUUUAUUUCUGUUUUAAUAAUGUGUAACUAAUUUUAUUUUGGCUAGAGGUUAUUUCAAAACCAUGAAUAUAUUUGUAAUAUGAAUUGAUUACCUUCGGUUGUGAUUUCAUAAGUUGUGAAUUCAAUUUACUUAUCCGUUUGUAUAAAAACUGAUUUGUGUAUGUUGGUUGAGAGUGCACGCUUAAUUUACAUGCAUGAAUUUGAUGCUAGAAUAUAAGUGAAUUUCACCUAAUCGUUAUGAACUUAUAUUCACAAGUAGUAAAGGUUGCUAGUCACAAUCACGUUAAGUAAAUUCUUGGCAUAAGUUUCAUGCAAAUCAUAGUAACGAGUGCCUCGUCAAUGCUUAUGUUUUUCAUAGAACUUAAUGAUUCUUGCUUGUAUCUCUAUUAUGCAAUUCAUGUAGAGAACUUGUAGGGAAUGUUUUGGGUUGUCGUAUGCAAUCAUCCAACCCAAUAACUUGUGGAAAAAACUGAGGGUUAAUUAGUGCAAUUCACGGUUAAUUUGGGGCGUUGAGAUUUUACAAUUUUAUUGAAAGAACAACUGAAAAUCAAUUUAGGUUGCAUAUGUGUCAUGUGUGGAGAAAAACCCUCUAGCUAGUCCGUCAUUUAUCAUUUCACCUUAAUUUCAUGUUUUUGUCAAUUCUGUAAUUUAAUUAAGUUUAAUUUACUUUUCAUCAAAACCAAACACCCAUCCAUUAUUAAAUUAUAUUUUUUAGUUAGUUUUCUUUAUUGUUAGUCUUUUAAUUUAAUUUCCGUCCAUUUCAGUUCCUAGUGUUUAAUUUAAUUGUUUUCAUUAUUUUGAGUCAUUUUAAGUGUGUUUCGAGUUAUUAGAGUUUUUAGCCUAAUUUUGUGUCCUUGAGUCUUAUUUAAUAUUUUUAAAUUAAUUUAGAAUAGAUUAGCAAUCCCUCCUAAUCCCCGGCCUAGAACGAUACCCUACUUACAUCUAUACUACAAUUGUUCAAAAGAGGGUUUAAUUUUGUGUGUUAACUUAUUUUUCACAUCAAAUUUUGGCGCCGUUGCCGGGGAUAUGAGAGAAGCAGCAAAACUGCAAGCUGCACAGAAAAAUAUAAGAGAUGGACAGCGCAGGGAGAGACUGGCGGGGAAGCACAGCAAUACAAAAGAAAAGCUCCAGAGAGCAAGGCAGCAAGAAAAUUAGAGGCUUCACUCCAUUUCUCUCGGUUAAAUCUUUCCAAACUUAUAUUUUAUUUCUGUUUUAAUAAUGUGUAACUAAUUUUAUUUUGGCUAGAGGUUAUUUCAAAACCAUGAAUAUAUUUGUAAUAUGAAUUGAUUACCUUCGGUUGUGAUUUCAUAAGUUGUGAAUUCAAUUUACUUAUCCGUUUGUAUAAAAACUGAUUUGUGUAUGUUGGUUGAGAGUGCACGCUUAAUUUACAUGCAUGAAUUUGAUGCUAGAAUAUAAGUGAAUUUCAC